rnacentral:ncRNA from 1 species
UUGUAACACUGGGGGAGCCUCGAAUGGGGCUGAGAUUGAGCAAUUGUUCUAGACCCUUUGAACCUGAACCGGGUGAUGCCGGCGUAGGAAAGUGGCCAAUCGAUGGA